CCUACGGGUGGCAGCAGUGGGGAAUAUUGGACAAUGGGGGCAACCCCGAUCCAGCCAUGCCGCGUGUGUGAAGAAGGCCCUCGGGUUGUAAAGCACUUUCAGUGAGGAAGAACGCCUGGUGGUUAAUACCCAUCAGGAAAGACAUCACUCACAGAAGAAGCACCGGCUAACUCCGUGCCAGCAGCCGCGGUAAUACGGAGGGUGCGAGCGUUAAUCGGAAUUACUGGGCGUAAAGCGCGCGUAGGUGGCUUGAUAAGCCGGUUGUGAAAGCCCCGGGCUCAACCUGGGAACGGCAUCCGGAACUGUCAAGCUAGAGUGCAGGAGAGGAAGGUAGAAUUCCCGGUGUAGCGGUGAAAUGCGUAGAGAUCGGGAGGAAUACCAGUGGCGAAGGCGGCCUUCUGGACUGACACUGACACUGAGGUGCGAAAGCGUGGGUAGCAAACAGGAUUAGAUACCCUGGUAGUC
rnacentral:rRNA from 1 species